rnacentral:tRNA from 1 species
UGCGGGGUAGUUUAACUGGUAAAACGGCUGACCGUCAAUCGGACAGAUGUGGGUUCGAAUCCCACCCCCGCAG